rnacentral:tRNA from 1 species
GGGAUUGUGGCUCAGUGGUAGAGCACUUGCCUAGCAUGUGUGAGGCACUGGGUUCAAUUCUCAGCAUCACA